rnacentral:rRNA from 1 species
UCGAGAAUCUUCCGCAAUGGGCGAAAGCCUGACGGAGCGACGCCGCGUGCGGGAUGAAGGCCUUCGGGUUGUAAACCGCUGUCAGUUGGGAGGAAAUGCUAUGGGGUUCUCUCCAUAGUUUGACCGAUCUUCAGAGGAAGUACGGGCUAAGUACGUGCCAGCAGCCGCGGUAAUACGUACCGUACGAACGUUAUUCGGAAUUACUGGGCUUAAAGAGUCCGUAGGCGGCUUUAAAGGUGAGGUGUGAAAU